UACGGGGGGGGCAAGCGUUGUUCGGAAUUACUGGGCGUAAAGGGUGCGUAGGCGGCUCUCUAAGUCGGAUGUGAAAACUCUGGGCUCAACCCAGAGACUGCAUCCGAAACUGGAGAGCUAGGGUUCUGGAGGGGAAAGCGGAAUUCCUGGUGUAGCGGUGAAAUGCGUAGAGAUGGGGGAGAACACUCGUGGCGAAGGCGGCCAGCUAGACCAGUUCUGACACUGAGGCGCGACAGCGUGGGGAGCAAACAGG
rnacentral:rRNA from 1 species